GAUGAACGCUGGCGGCGUGCCUAAUACAUGCAAGUCGAGCGAACAGAUGAGGAGCUUGCUCCUCUGACGUUAGCGGCGGACGGGUGAGUAACACGUGGAUAACCUACCUAUAAGACUGGGAUAACUUCGGGAAACCGGAGCUAAUACCGGAUAAUAUAUUGAACCGCAUGGUUCAAUAGUGAAAGACGGUUUUGCUGUCACUUAUAGAUGGAUCCGCGCCGCAUUAGCUAGUUGGUAAGGUAACGGCUUACCAAGGCAACGAUGCGUAGCCGACCUGAGAGGGUGAUCGCCACACCUGAACCUGAGCACCGGCCCAGAUCCUUACGGGAGGCAGCGGUAGGAAAUCUUCCGAAAGGGGCGAAAGCCUGCGGGAGCAACGCGGCGUGAGUGAUGAAGGUCUUCGGAUCGUAAACCCCUUUUAUAAGGGAAGAACAAAUGUGUAAGUACCUAUGCCCGUCUUGACGGUACCAAAUAAGAAAGCCACGGCUAACUACGU
rnacentral:rRNA from 1 species